CCGCGCCCCGCGGGGGUUUUUUAGGCACUUCCCGGCCUCAGGGGACGCAAAAUUAAGUCGGGCCACCGCCCGUCGGGGACGCUGGGUGUCUGGGGUGGCAGUCCGCUUGCUCCAGCCCCUUGGGCUCCAAAGUGGGUAGGGACGUAGAGAAAGAAUAAAACGUCCAAGUUGGCAGAGUGCGCCCCCCCAUCUGUUUAUUUCAGAGUCCCAUUUCUCGGAUGGGCAAGUUGGGCUUCCGAGCCCCAAGAAAAAACUUGCAAGUGGCGAGGCUAGCAGGCCCUUCCUGCGGCCCGCUGCCCUUCGGGGACAGCGUCCUGUGACGCGCCCGCCGCGGCCGCCAGCCCGCCCGAGAGGCCGCCAGCGAACCGGAGCGCGGGACGGGACACCCCGGCCAGGGUGGCGGCCCCGCACCUGUCCCGGGGAGCACACUCAGGGGCCACGUGUGGCCGCCUGCGUCACGUGCCAGCCCCCACCUCCCCCGGCCAGAACCCGCGUGGCCGCGCGGGGUGGGCCGCCCGGCCUCCCGUUAACCUGCGCCGCGAGGCGUCCCCGUCACCCCUGCCUGCGGCUCCAGCCCCUGGAGGAAGCGGCCACGCAAACGAGCCGUGACCGCACAGAGGCAAAACCGACCCUCCAGAUGUUGGUGGCAAGGACAGGAGCCACCAGGGCGUGCAGAAGCCGGCCAGGGCACCACCCCUCAGGAGCUGCCACAGCGCGCUCCUGCAAAGUCUCUUGUCACCAAAAAGUAACUUUUCGGAGGGGAGAAUCUUGGCAGUCUUGUUCCUGGUUGAAUCUUUAAAAGAUUGGCUCCACACCCAACGUGGGUCUGGAACUCACGACUCCGAUCAAAAGUCACAUGCUCCAUGAACUGAGCCAGCCAGGUGCCCCUGUACUUUCAUUUUUAACAUCCUUCCAGACUUCUAAGAAAACUGCCCCUUUGGAAACAGAGCCCCACUGUGGGCAUGUGGGAUCACCAGGGAAGCUGCUGGCUGAGCUGAGGAUAAACACCAGCGAUUCUAUUCUCAGUGACUAACUUCAACAUGAAUGCCAACACGUAUAACAGGAAAUCAGAUGAUGCAAGGCAAAGCAGGAGCAUCAGACUUUGAAAUGACAUGGGGCUUUAGGUGAUAGCCAGGCCCGCUGGUUUGCAAGCGCACACUGGUCCAGCCCUGAGAAGCCGCUCUUGCAGAAACACCUAGGAACCUGACUUAUUCAGUAGAAAAUAACUGCCCCAGAGGUGGGAGUUAGGGUCUUGUGAAAGUUUAAAUUAGGAGAAAUUACAGUUGAAGAGCUUAAAACCAGAGGAAAACACGGAGGGAAUGGACAUCACAUCUGUGAGCAUUCAGAGAAAUCAUUUAAAUUCACUAAGAUUAUUCUAACAACAACAAAAAUAGCAAUGAGUAGCAUUUUCUGCACACGAAGCAAUGCUAUGUUUGUUCCCUUUUUAAGAGGAAUCCUGUGACCCCUCUCCCCACAAAACCCAGUAUUGAAGUUCAGGCCUGAAUCACUCUGGAUACACGCCCCUUGGAGAGGCUUGACCCAAACCAGUUAAAAAAAAAAAAAAAAGAAAGCGCCAAAGAGCCAAAUUCUUGGCUUCCACCAGUUCCUAAACAGGCUUUUGAAAUUCAUGGCAGAGAUAAUAACCUUGAAAGCCAAGGCUUUUGAUUUGCAAGAUUCGCAAAAGAGGCUCUUUUUUUUAAACGUCUCUGAACUGGUUUUGAGUAGCAAGACUUUGGAUUCAAAAGCAAAUCCCUGAAGGAAUCUUGGAAUAAAGUUUCUGCCACAACAGACAAUACAUCUGUGGGGGGAACUGAUGAAAAGUCAGAUUAUCCUGUCCCUGAGGGUGAAAAUGUCCAAAAAACAAAAAACAAAAACAAAAACCCAGAGAGGAGGAAUUACAAAUUCCAGGGGGCUAAAGAAGGGGAAAAACAAGGUUGGCGGUGAGCUGAGGAGCUAAUCAUUGUUGCAAUUGCCUUCAUUAUUCCAGUCUAUUUCUGUUUUUUUCUUUUCUUUUUUGUUAAGUAAGCUCUACACCCAACGUGGGGCUUGAACUCAUGACCCUGAGAUCAGGAGUUGCAUAUGGUCCACCGACUGAGCCAGCCAGGCGCCCUUAUUCUCUCUACUUUUUUGAAAUUUUUCAUAUUAAAAAUUCUGCGAUUGUUAGUUUUAAUGGGGAAGCUGGGAGACCAGCAAGAAGGUUAUCACAAUCGUGCAGGCAAGAAGUGGUGGUUGUGUGGGCCAGGGUAGCUGAGAUGGGGUGGAUGUGGGAAGCUGGAGAGAGGCAGAUGGAUAUCUGGUGGUCGCCCACUGGAUUACAUCCCCAUGCAUUUUCCCUCCUCCUUCACCUCAGGAGUUUGCACGCAGUACUCCGGGAUGGGGGUGCGGGAAGGUUAAGAGAAGAGCGUGCUAGAUUAGCACCGCAGCGGUUCCUGAGAAGGGUCUCUGCCCCAUGGAGCCACCUACAGCCCGGAGAUGAUAGGUACAUCCAGAUGCCUCUGGGUUCCAGUCCAGGAGCCUUGGGAACCUCAAAAGAUUUUCAGUAGGCAGUGGCCUGAACAGGUUUUUCAAAACCCUCUCUACCCCAGCUACUGCGUGGAGCAGUUCAGAAUGGGGAAAGGAUGUGCUCUGGUUCAUCUACAUAUCCCUGCUCUUUGCCUCCCAUCAGAGAGUUCCCAGCAGAUGUUUGUGUGUGAAUAUAGAAGUGGGUGUGCAAUGUCAGAGAAUUUGGGGGGCUUUCUGGACAAUCCAAAAUGUUGGUACGGUGAGUCCAGUCAAGUGGGUAAGAGCACCCAUUCUGAGAGCUGGGUUCAUAUCCUGCCACCAUCACUUACCUACCAGCUGUGUGAAUCUGGGCAAGGCACUUAACAGUGCCUCGGUUUCCCCAUCUGUAAAAUGGGGGUGGUAAUACUAGCACUAAUAAUAGUACUUUCCUCAUAGGUCUGUUUUGACUCAACUCACGCAAUGCCAUGCUUUAUAUAGAGAAAGGCCUCGGGAAAGGCUGGCUGUGAUGAGGGGUUAAGAGUACAAUAAAGAGGGCGCCCGGGUGGCUCAGCUGGUUGGGCGACUGCCUUCGGCUCGGGUCGUGAUCCUGGAGUCCUGGGAUCGAGUCCCGCAGUCCCGCAUCGAGCUCCCUGCUCGGCGGGGAGUCCGUUUCUCCCUCUGACCCUACCCUCUCUCAUGCUCUCUAUCUCAUUCUCUCUCUCAAAUAAAUAAAUAAAAUCUUAAAAAAAAAAAAAGAGUACGAUAAAGAAACCACUAAAAUGCUGCAAACCCUCCUCGUACUGCCCUCCUCAUACUGCCACGAAUGCCCAGAAAGUUCCCCCCCGGGGUGGGAGUUGUUUUAUUCCCCGUUGGCUCUAGCGUGGUGCAUAGAGCUCUGCUCCCGGUAGGGGGCGCAGUAAAUAUUGACUCAACCAGCGAACAAGCCCGGAGUUUCCUAUGGACCAGAAUUCACCUCUUACGAUAACCCCAAACCUAAAGAAUCCCACAAAAGCAAAAACUGUAACAGAGGGUAAUUAUUUGAGGGACGACCCCCGAAUGUGACAGUGGGUGAGGAAAAGCAUCUCUUAUCGAAAAGAUUGUGUGUGUGUUUUAAGAUUUUUAAAGGAAUCUCUACACCCAACUCGGGGCUCGAACUCACAGCCCCGAGAUCAAGAGUCCCACGUUCCCCUGACUAAGCCAGCCAGGUGCCCCCAAAAGACUGUGUUUUGAGACAAAUGUUUGCUCGCUCAGAAAAAGCAGAAAAGGUUUGGGGUGGCAAGCCGCAACAAAUAGUCAUUAAAGCAAAAUUAGUACAGGUCUUAAAUUCCCGAGGUUGCAAAACAGCCUGGCUGAGGUCAUUUGUGCCUAAUUAUUGUGCCCAAUAAUUACCUUGACUAAUUAGAGCAAAGGUUUUGGAGUAUGUUUCUAUUCCCAGACACUGAGUCAUCAG